CCUCGGUUGGCCUCGGAUAGCCGGGUCCCCGCCGUCCCCGCCGGCGCGGCGCGCCCCCGCCGCGCAUCGGGACCGGGGUCCGGUGCGGAGAGCCCCUCGUCCCGGGACACAGGGCGCGGCCGGAAAGGCGGCCGCCCCCUCGCCCGUCACGCAGCGCACGUUCGUGGGGAACCUGGCGCUAAACCAUUCGUAGACGACCUGCUUCUGGGUCAGGGUUUCGUACGUAGCAGAGCAGCUCCCUCGCUGCGAUCUAUUGAAAGUCAGCCCUCGACACAAGGGUUUGUCUCGUCCGUCGGUCGGUCCUUCCCCGACCGCCCUCUCCGGCGCGGCCCCGCCGCCCGCCGCCGGCCGGCGGAGGUCGAGCAGAAGGUGUGGGCGGGGCGCCACUCCGGCGCGUCCCUGCCUCGGCGCCGCGCCACCCCCUCUCCGACCCCCGCCGGGGCCUCGCCCCGGGCUGGGACGGGGGAAAGGGAGGGCGGCGGGCGCGGCCGAGCGGUGGGCCGCGGGGGGGGGGUGGGGGGAGGGCGGCCCCGCGGCCCCGCGGCCCCUUUCCCAGGGUGGCCACGGGCCAGGGGGCCUCGGCUGUGCGCUUCUGGCGCUGACGCCGCCCGGGCGGCCCGGUCCGAAGGCCGCCGCGCCUCGCGGUCGCGGCGUGCCGGCCGGUGCGUGGCCCUUGCCCUUCCCCGCCCCACCUCUCUCUCUCUCUCUCCGCCCGCGUUCCGGGUCGACCAGCAUUCCGCCGCGGGAUUCGACCAGCCACGGACGCGUGGUGGGGGGAGAGAGGGAAGGUGCGGCGGCCGGAGGCCGGGCGCGGGGCUCGCUCCAGGCUCUGGCCGGGCGGAGGGGUCGACCAGCUGCCCGGCCCGGACUUGGUCCCCGGACCCGGCCCAGGGCGCCCAGGUCGACCAGAUGUCCGCGCCGAGCCCCGCGGGGCCCUGGUGCUCUGGGUGGUCUGGGUGUGCUCCCGGGGCUCCUUUGGCUCCAAAGGCCCCGCGGACUCGUACCCGCGAGGCCCCCGGGGCCACCGUCCUGCCGGGUCGACCAGCGGCCUGGCCCCCGGGUCCGGUGGCGCGCGGGUGGACCAGAUGUCCGCACCGAGCGCCGCGGGGUUGUGAGGUGCUCGGGCUUCUUGGAGCCCCGAGAGCUCCGCGGACAAGUAGCCGCGAAACCCGUGCGGCUGCCCUCCGCCCGGCUCACGGGGCGCUCGUGUCCAUCAGCUGGUCGUGCAGAAAUCCCGUGGUUGGCCUCCCACCUUCCCUCGUCCAGCCACACGUUUUCGGGGUUUGUGCGGCUAGGAUGAAAUAG
rnacentral:lncRNA from 1 species